rnacentral:rRNA from 2 species
ACCUUACCAGCCCUUGACACCCCGAUCGGGGUUAGUGGAGACACUUACCGUCAGUUUGGCUGGAUCGGAGACAGGUGCUGCAUGGCUGUCGUCAGCUCGUGUCGUGAGAUGUUGGNUAAAUCCCGCAACGAGCGCAACCCUCGCUCUUAGUUGCCAUCAUUCAGUUGGGCACUCUAAGGGGACUGCCGGUGAUAAGCUGGAGGAAGGUGGGGAUGACGUCAAGUCCUCAUGGCCCUUACGGGCUGGGCUACACACGUGCUACAAUGGUGGUGACAGUGGGCAGCGAGACCGCGAGGUUGAGCUAAUCUCCAAAAACCAUCUCAGUUCGGAUUGCACUCUGCAACUCGGGUGCAUGAAGUUGGAAUCGCUAGUAAUCGUGGAUCAGCAUGCCACGGUGAAUACGUUCCCGGGCCUUGUACACACCGCCCGUCACACCAUGGGAGUUGGC